rfam:Myotis davidii contig102672, whole genome shotgun sequence.
AGCAGUUCUCAGGUGACGCACCCCAGAACGAGAGAGGAGGGAGCCGAUUCUGGGGUGCAUCACCUGAGAACUGCC